AUGAGUGGAAUUGACCGCUUCGAGAGAUCACUUCGGUCCCGAUGGUCGACAAUCAACUCGGAUUGUCAAAAGUGGGCGGCCGUACAAAAGGCAGUUGACAAGAUUAACCCAAGUGGCACAAAUGAGGAUGAUCGAUACAACAUUGCACAAAACUUGUUCAAAGAAGAGACGAGGACAACCAAGAAGGGGAAGAUUAAGAAAGGCAGGAUCUUUACCUUGCCUCAUUGCUAUGAAGUGUUAAAGGAUGAUGAGAAAUGGAAGAAGCAUGAUGGUUUGGAUGAUUUGCAUUUGAGCAACAAACGCAAGCAAGCAAUUGAGUUGAAUGAUGAUGAGGAGGAGGAUGAUGCAUCAAACAAAAUCGAAAAGAAGAAGAGGAAAGGAGAUGAUGAGCUCAAAAAUGCUAUGGAAGCAAUUGUCAACGCAAUAAGAGAAGCCAACGAGGUGAGGAAAAUGGCAAGGGACCAAGAUGCCGCGACCGGGGAGAGGAGGUUGGCGGCCCAGGAGAGGAGGGUGGCCGCCGAGGAGAGGAAAGUGGCAUUGGAGGAGAGGAAGGUGGGCAUGGAGGAGCGAGCUAAGUUGUUGGAAUGGGAGAAGCACUUGUUCUUCUUGGACACAUCUUUGUUCAAUGAUGCGCAAAAGGAAUACGUCAACCUUGCACGUGAAGAAGUCUUGAUCCAAAAAAUAGCCAUGAUCCGCAUGAGUGGCGGUGGCCUUGGCGGCAUGGGUGGCGGUGGCCUCAGCGGCAUGGGUGGCGGUGGCUUUGGCGGCAUGGGUGGCGGUGGCCUUGGCACCAUGGGAGGCAUGGGUGGCUUCGGAGCCAUGGGAGGCAUGGGUGCACCUCCGGCCGCCAUGGGAGGCAUGGGUGGCUUUGGAGCACCCUCCGACGCUAUGGCCGCCAUGGGAGGCAUGAGUUUUUCUUCUCUCAUGGGAGGCAUGGGUGCACCUCCGGUCGCCAUGGGUGGAAUGUCUUUCGAUGUGCCUUCUCACACACAUUCCCAUGAAGAUGCCGUUAAAGAUCUUGCCAACACCGUCGGAGCUUCACGUGAUGCGGUGCGUGAUGAGGAGAGGGAGGAAGAUUCAUCUUCGGAGGCGGAAGAAUCGUCUUCGGAAGAUGAGGACGAAGACGAGGAAGAUGAUUGA
rnacentral:rRNA from 1 species